CCUCCGUCACUCGCCUCACUUCAUGUCAUCAUGUAGGCAUUUUAUCACCUCCCUUCAUCACAACAAGAAGGAUGAGUAUAGUCCAAUAAGAGCUCAUUUCCACCAUGGUUGAUGCGCAGGAGUAAAUGCUUGUUGCAUUGAAUUGCUGCCUAAAUUCCUAGGAAGGAAGAUGGUAGUUUUUCUCAUACAGAAUAACUAGGAGAUUUUUUUUUUUUAAUGAGCUACCAAAAUCAAAAAAAAAAAAACCGCAAUGGAAAAAUUGACAGCCUGGAUCUGUAAUCUAAGUGACCUGACAAUUAAAAGAACUUAUUACCGUGUUAGCCUGCCAGAUGGAUCUCCUUGAAAUGCAGCGUGCGGUGCUUCUGAACACAAUUCAAGUGCAGUCUUCCUUUUCUACCCGCUCCAUGUUUGUUGCGUUUGGGAAAGAAGCAGUUUUAUUUGAACUAAACCCACUCAUCUCAAGUGUGUUUAAUGACAGCAGGAUGUGACAGAUAAAAUAAAAUCCUACAGCCUCA